rnacentral:rRNA from 1 species
CUACGGGCCGCUCCAGUGGGGAAUAUUGCACAAUGGAGGGAACUCUGAUGCAGCAACGCCGCGUGGAGGAUGACGCAUUUCGGUGUGUAAACUCCUUUUAUAUAGGAAGAUAAUGACGGUACUAUAUGAAUAAGCACCGGCUAACUCCGUGCCAGCAGCCGCGGUAAUACGGAGGGUGCAAGCGUUACUCGGAAUCACUGGGCGUAAAGCGCAUGCAGGCGGUUAAAUAAGUUGGAAGUGAAAUCCUAUGGCUCAACCAUAGAACUGCUUCCAAAACUGUUUAACUAGAGUCUGGGAGGGGAAGAUGGAAUUAGUAGUGUAGGGGUAAAAUCCGUAGAGAUUACUAGGAAUACCAAAAGCGAAGGCGAUCUUCUGGAACAGUACUGACGCUGAGAUGCGAAAGCGUGGGGAGCAAACAGGAUUAGAUACCCCUGUAGUC